rnacentral:rRNA from 1 species
GAGUUCUCGUUGAUGAUCGGUGCUUGCACCGAGAUUCAACAUGGAACGAGUGGCGGACGGGUGAGUAACACGUGGGUAACCUGCCCUUAAGUGGGGGAUAACAUUUGGAAACAGAUGCUAAUACCGCAUAGAUCCAAGAACCGCAUGGUUCUUGGCUGAAAGAUGGCGUAAGCUAUCGCUUUUGGAUGGACCCGCGGCGUAUUAGCUAGUUGGUGAGGUAAUGGCUCACCAAGGCGAUGAUACGUAGCCGAACUGAGAGGUUGAUCGGCCACAUUGGGACUGAGACACGGCCCAAACUCCUACGGGAGGCAGCAGUAGGGAAUCUUCCACAAUGGACGCAAGUCUGAUGGAGCAACGCCGCGUGAGUGAAGAAGGCUUUCGGGUCGUAAAACUCUGUUGUUGGAGAAGAAUGGUCGGCAGAGUAACUGUUGUCGGCGUGACGGUAUCCAACCAGAAAGCCACGGCUAACUACGUGCCAGCAGCCGCGGUAAUACGUAGGUGGCAAGCGUUAUCCGGAUUUAUUGGGCGUAAAGCGAGCGCAGGCGGUUUUUUAAGUCUGAUGUGAAAGCCCUCGGCUUAACCGAGGAAGCGCAUCGGAAACUGGGAAACUUGAGUGCAGAAGAGGACAGUGGAACUCCAUGUGUAGCGGUGAAAUGCGUAGAUAUAUGGAAGAACACCAGUGGCGAAGGCGGCUGUCUGGUCUGUAACUGACGCUGAGGCUCGAAAGCAUGGGUAGCGAACAGGAUUAGAUACCCUGGUAGUCCAUGCCGUAAACGAUGA